GGGAACAGGUAGAUCAAGAAGAAGCUGCUAACUUCUCCCUUAAGCGGUUAAACUCCGUUUAUGUUCCUG
rnacentral:tRNA from 1 species